AUACAGGUGCAAGAGGCUGUGAGCUGUAGUAGCGAGAUGACAAAAUGUGUUGUGGAGGUUUUUGUACUGAGGAGCAGUGAUAUGUAGCACUGUGUAAUCUAGCAGCACAGAAGUACACUGCACUGCUGUUCAGCUGGAGUUCUUCAAUUGUUAAUGUGCAGUUUUGGUCUUUAUUUGCACUCCCUGCUAUCUUCACCUUCACUCCAGUCUCUGGGUAUCCACUGCCU